rnacentral:lncRNA from 1 species
AUCACCACAACUCCCCUUAGCUACCAACCACCAUUGACCUACAUCACCAGACCAACAACAUCAACCAAUUUCUAAAGAGGAGCAAGGAUCGAGCUCUGGUACUGCUUCGGAGCUAAUUUAAGUGGUUCCCUCUGCUGAUGGCUCGAAUGGGACAAUUAGGCUGCCCAUAAAGAUAAACCUAUAUGAGAUGGCAAAAAGGUCAAGUUGGUUGCCUAAUAGCUGGACGAUAGAUUUGUCUAAUAGUUGAUGAUAGAUUUGAGGGUAUGUUCGUCUAGAGCUACCGCUGGAACCAUCGAUUCAGUAUCUUUGGCUCUCUAAUUCACACACAUAUACACCCACACACAGAAAUGGUCUAAAUUUGCACAAAAAUGGUCUAAAUUUUGACCAAAUCUAGCUAAAAUUAUUAUUGUUUUACUCAAAAUUUUGACUGUCAUUUUGCUUAAAACUACUGUCAUUUUUUAUGGCUAUUCUUCGAUGGUGGUGUCCACCAUUGCUAUGGUUAUUCUUCAACGGUGGUGGGUUUGUGGUGGCUGAGGGGCUGAAGGUUGAUGGUGCCUGGUGGUUGAUGGGCGACUGGUUGGUGGUAGGUCAAUGGUGGCUAGUUUUUUUUCCUUUUCUUUUUAUUUUGGUUUAGUGAAGUUAUUUUAAUUGUUUUAUAUGGUUAAAUAGCAAAUUACCCUUUUAAAUUGGUCAAAAUAGGUCAGAGUUCAAUUUUAUUUGUCGACUAAUGGUGGAAUUGUGAGUGCUACAAAGUGAAGGUUAAGAUAAAGUCUGAAGAAAAUUAAAAACAGGUUUGGGACCACCAUUGCAAUUUUCCCUUUAUUCUAUAAUAAAAGGCACUAUAUGCUUGUUUGUUUGUGAGACCAAAAUUAAUAUUUAGCCAUUGUUUAUUUUUCAUUCUUUCUCCAUAAAAAUAAAAAAAUAUAACUGUUAUCCAUUACAUCAAGUUACCAAAUCUGAAUUUAUAUCUCUUGUGUGGGAUUCAUAACAGCUUUAUUUUUCAUUCUCAUUUUUACAAAAAUGGGAAUCAAACGAAGAUUUAGUAUGCCUUCAAUUUUUUUUUUUUUUUUAUUUUGGGACAGAAGAAGGAGGCAAAUAAGAAGCCAAACUUCUAAACGCUGUAGGUCAGUCACUGUAGAGGCCCUUUUUAUGUCAGUCAAAUUAUAGAUACUCACUAGGCUUUCCCAAUUUCGAAUAGUCAUAUUACUGAUGAGACCAUUGACAAUUUCUUAUGUAUAGAGAAGGCAUUUCACUAUCGGAUCAUGCAGGAUUUCGCUGGCUAUCAAUUGGAAAGAUGUGACCUGCAAUGGCGUCCACUUGCCAAUAGGUGACUCAGGAUUCAAGAAUCACAAGAUAAGGGACCGCUUUCAUUUUAUGCUUCCCUAUGUGCUGUAAGUAGAAUCUCACUCUUAUCAUUUUCUCCCAUUCCCCAAGAUUGCUUAUAACGAGGUAUUGUGCACGUGCCACAAUAAAACUUGAGAAAAUAUCCAAAAGUGUCAGAAUUAGGGUGUAACUUGAAUUCUACUUGGAAGAUUACUUGGGAAUUUUCUUCAAAGUCCAGUUGACGAUUCUAACUGGAGUCUAUUUGAGAAUUUAAGUUGGAAUUCUAUUUGAGAGUUGGUAAUAAACUUGAAGAGAUCUCGAAGGAAUCCAAGUUCCAAUUGGAGAAGCAAACAUCAAACUAGCGCUUGCCUAUCCCCUUGAUUCCAUUUGAACGCUCAAAACACGAGUACCAGCUCUUGGUUACCGCGAUGCGGCCACUGUUCGAUGCAAUCGGCUAUUUUUUUUGAGAAAUAUUCUAUCCUUUUCUUGGCAAUAUUUUUACUCCCAUUUCAUUUCAUAUAUUCCAUUAUUGGUUUUACCCAUUGAAUUAGAACUUCACUUUCUAUUAAACUCUUCAUUUUAAUAUAUUCAUAGUAUGUUAGGGAUCUUCGUGUUA